rnacentral:rRNA from 1 species
GAUGAACGCUGGCGGCGUGCCUAAUACAUGCAAGUCGAGCGAACGGGCGAGAAGCUUGCUUCUCUGAUGUUAGCGGCGGACGGGUGAGUAACACGUGGAUAACCUACCUAUAAGACUGGGAUAACUUCGGGAAACCGGAGCUAAUACCGGAUAAUAUUUUGAACCGCAUGGUUCAAAAGUGAAAGACGGUCUUGCUGUCACUUAUAGAUGGAUCCGCGCUGCAUUAGCUAGUUGGUAAGGUAACGGCUUACCAAGGCAACGAUGCAUAGCCGACCUGAGAGGGUGAUCGGCCACACUGGAACUGAGACACGGUCCAGACGCCUACGGGAGGCAGCAGUAGGGAAUCUUCCGCAAUGGGCGAAAGCCUGACGGAGCAACGCCGCGUGAGUGAUGAAGGUCUUCGGAUCGUAAAACUCUGUUAUUAGGGAAGAACAUAUGUGUAAGUAACUGUGCACAUCUUGACGGUACCUAAUCAGAAAGCCACGGCUAACUACGUG